rnacentral:rRNA from 1 species
GACGUAGGGCGCGAGCGUUGUCCGGAUUUAUUGGGCGUAAAGAGCUCGUAGGCGGCUUGUCGCGUCGACUGUGAAAUCCCGCGGCUCAACUGCGGGUCUGCAGUCGAUACGGGCAGGCUAGAGUUCGGUAGGGGAGACUGGAAUUCCUGGUGUAGCGGUGAAAUGCGCAGAUAUCAGGAGGAACACCGGUGGCGAAGGCGGCAUCCUGGACCAAGCACUGACGCUGAGUGAGCGAAAGCCAGGGGAGCAAACAGG